CUAAACAUGCAAGUCGAGCGAAUGGAUUAAGAGCUUGCUCUUAUGAAGUUAGCGGCGGACGGGUGAGUAACACGUGGGUAACCUGCCCAUAAGACUGGGAUAACUCCGGGAAACCGGGGCUAAUACCGGAUAACAUUUUGAACCGCAUGGUUCGAAAUUGAAAGGCGGCUUCGGCUGUCACUUAUGGAUGGACCCGCGUCGCAUUAGCUAGUUGGUGAGGUAACGGCUCACCAAGGCAACGAUGCGUAGCCGACCUGAGAGGGUGAUCGGCCACACUGGGACUGAGACACGGCCCAGACUCCUACGGGAGGCAGCAGUAGGGAAUCUUCCGCAAUGGACGAAAGUCUGACGGAGCAACGCCGCGUGAGUGAUGAAGGCUUUCGGGUCGUAAAACUCUGUUGUUAGGGAAGAACAAGUGCUAGUUGAAUAAGCUGGCACCUUGACGGUACCUAACCAGAAAGCCACGGCUAACUACGUGCCAGCAGCCGCGGUAAUACGUAGGUGGCAAGCGUUAUCCGGAAUUAUUGGGCGUAAAGCGCGCGCAGGUGGUUUCUUAAGUCUGAUGUGAAAGCCCACGGCUCAACCGUGGAGGGUCAUUGGAAACUGGGAGACUUGAGUGCAGAAGAGGAAAGUGGAAUUCCAUGUGUAGCGGUGAAAUGCGUAGAGAUAUGGAGGAACACCAGUGGCGAAGGCGACUUUCUGGUCUGUAACUGACACUGAGGCGCG
rnacentral:rRNA from 1 species